GACGAACGCUGGCGGCGUGCCUAAUACAUGCAAGUUGAGCGCUGAAGGUUGGUACUUGUACCAACUGGAUGAGCAGCGAACGGGUGAGUAACGCGUGGGGAAUCUGCCUUUGAGCGGGGGACAACAUUUGGAAACGAAUGCUAAUACCGCAUAAAAACUUUAAACACAAGUUUUAAGUUUGAAAGAUGCAAUUGCAUCACUCAAAGAUGGUCCCGCGUUGUAUUAGCUAGUUGGUGAGGUAAAGGCUCACCAAGGCGAUGAUACAUAGCCGACCUGAGAGGGUGAUCGGCCACAUUGGGAAUGGGACACGGCCCAAACCCCCACGGGAGGCAGCAGUAGGGAAUCUUCGGCAAUGGACGGAAGUCUGACCGAGCAACGCCGCGUGAGGGAAGAAGGUUUUCGGAUCGUAAAACUCUGUUGGUAGGGAAGAACGUUGGUGAGAGUGGAAAGCUCAUCAAGUGACGGUAACUACCCAGAAAGGGACGGCUAACUACGUG
rnacentral:rRNA from 1 species